GACGAACGCUGGCGGCGUGCUUAACACAUGCAAGUCGAACGGAAAGGCCCUGCUUUUGUGGGGUGCUCGAGUGGCGAACGGGUGAGUAACACGUGAGUAACCUGCCCUUGACUUUGGGAUAACUUCAGGAAACUGGGGCUAAUACCGGAUAGGAGCUCCUGCUGCAUGGUGGGGGUUGGAAAGUUUCGGCGGUUGGGGAUGGACUCGCGGCUUAUCAGCUUGUUGGUGGGGUAGUGGCUUACCAAGGCUUUGACGGGUAGCCGGGCUGGGAGGGUGACCGGCCACAUUGGGACUGAGAUACGGCCCAGACUCCUCCGGGAGGCAGCAGUGGGGAAUAUUGCACAAUGGGCGGAAGCCUGAUGCAGCAACGCCGCGUGCGGGAUGACGGCCUUCGGGUUGUAAACCGCUUUCGCCUGUGACGAAGCGUGAGUGACGGUAAUGGGUAAAGAAGCACCGGCUAACUACGUG
rnacentral:rRNA from 1 species